AACGAACGCUGGCGGCAUGCCUAACACAUGCAAGUCGAACGAGACCUUCGGGUCUAGUGGCGCACGGGUGCGUAACGCGUGGGAACCUGCCCUUAGGUUCGGAAUAACUCCCCGAAAGGGGUGCUAAUACCGGAUAAUGUCUUCGGACCAAAGAUUUAUCGCCUUUGGAUGGGCCCGCGUUGGAUUAGCUAGUUGGUAGGGUAAAAGCCUACCAAGGCGACGAUCCAUAGCUGGUCUGAGAGGAUGAUCAGCCACACUGGGACUGAGACACGGCCCAGACUCCUACGGGAAGCAGCAGUGGGGAAUAUUGGACAAUGGGCGAAAGCCUGAUCCAGCAAUGCCGCGUGAGUGAUGAAGGCCUUAGAGUUGUAAAGCUCUUUUACCCGGGAUGAUAAUGACAGUACCGGGAGAAUAAGCACCGGCUAACUCCGUG
rnacentral:rRNA from 1 species